rnacentral:lncRNA from 1 species
AAAGAAGCCAAAGUGUUUGAUAAUUCAUCAGCAGCAGCAAACCUGAGUGUUUCUGUGCAAUGCAAAUUGCUUUGGCUUCCACACAGCUCCUGUCGCUUCAAGUGCGGAUGGUUAAUGGGACCUGGACUGGAAAAGGAUUGUUUGUGUGGGAAUCAUUCAUGGCAAAGGCAGUGACACCUCCUUCAAAAACCUGUGUCUUUCUGGCAGAGUGUUGCUGGAGAUGGCCACUGGAGAGGCUGAGUCAAAUCAAUCUCCUCACCUGAGGACUUCCUAAGACCAGCGCACUGAAGGACCAGCAGCAACAACAACAAUAAUGCUAAUGCUCCCUUAUGGACAAGACUGCAAUUCUCUGCCUGCUGAAGCUCAGCUAUGACCACGUGACUUGCCUUGGCCAAUGAAAGAGGAAGAGUAUGUAACACUGCUGAAUGGAAGCAAGUGGCCCCUGCCCCUGCUGCAGAGAUUCUAGACAUGUGUGCCAUGCUGGAGCAAGGAGACAGGGAGUCCUGGAGAAAGGAGACAUGGAACAGAGCUCCCAGCCCAGUCAAUAUGUAACAUGAGUGAGAAAUAAAUAACACUUUGUUGCUAGAAGUUUUUUUUAAACUGAAGUAUAACUCAGCUUCCCCUGACCCAUGCAGAAAGUCAUCUAUCAAUGUUAAGUAUCACUAAAUUUAUUUUACAGAAGAAGAAUCUAAAGCUCAGAGUAGUGGUCUCAAUAUCACUCAGCAAUUAUGUGAUGGAAGCAUACUGAAGGCCCACGUUUUAAAGUGGACACCAAGGGGAAUAUAGCAUAAAUAGAAAUUUUCUAACUGCAGGGAAUUCUUGCUAUACAACUGCAAAGAAUAGGCCCCACUACUUCCUAGCUGUGCCUCAAUUUCCUGAUCAGUUAAAUGGGACUAAUAAAAGAGCAGCUAGUGGCUGGGUGCGGUGGCUCACGCCUGUAAUCCCAGCACUUUGGGAGGCCGAGGCGGGCAGAUCAAGAGGUCAGGAGAUCGAGACCACAGUGAAACCCCGUCUCUACUAAAAAUACAAAAAAUUAGCUGUGCGCAGUGGCGGGUGCCUGUAGUCCCAGCUACUCGGGAGGCUGAGGUAGGAGAAUGUCGUUAACUCGGAAGGCGGAGCUUGCAGUGAGCCGAGAUCGCGCCACUGCACUCCAGUCUGGGCGACAGAGGGAGACUCUGUCUCAAAAAAAACGACAACAACAAAAAAAAAAAAAAAAAAAAAAAAGAAAGAGUAGCUAGUGCAAGAGAUGGAGAAGGGAUUAAAUGAAAAUACAUGUAAAUUGCUCAUAAGAUUAUCUAGAAUAAACCGAACAUUCAAAAAUGUUAGUUACUAUUAUUAUUAACAAUUGCUAUUAUAAUCCUAAUAUCACCUGUUUCUCAUCAGUCGGUGGAUACAAGCAAUUACAUUUACAUAAAUAUGUAAAGCAAUAAAGCCAAACCAGAGACUCCUAAUCGCCUUCCUGCUUAGUGCUUCUUCAUCCUGUUAAUUUAAUUCCGGUCUCUACCUCCACGGGGCCAAUUCCUCCUACUGUGGAACAUCUCCUUUACCAAGAAGCCUUUCCUGCUCACUUUCACCCAAGACUGUUAUGUGCU